UGGGGAAUAUUGCACAAUGGGCGCAAGUCUGAUGCAGCCAUGCCGCGUGUAUGAAGAAGGCCUUCGGGUUGUAAAGUACUUUCAGCGGGGAGGAAGGGAGUAAAGUUAAUACCUUUGCUCAUUGACGUUACCCGCAGAAGAAGCACCGGCUAACUCCGUGCCAGCAGCCGCGAUAAUACGGAGGGUGCAAGCGUUAAUCGGAAUUACUGGGCGUAAAGCGCACGCAGGCGGUUUGUUAAGUCAGAUGUGAAAUCCCCGGGCUCAACCUGGGAACUGCAUCUGAUACUGGCAAGCUUGAGUCUCGUAGAGGGGGGUAGAAUUCCAGGUGUAGCGGUGAAAUGCGUAGAGAUCUGGAGGAAUACCGGUGGCGAAGGCGGCCCCCUGGACGAAGACUGACGCUCAGGUGCGAAAGCGUGGGGAGCAAACAGG
rnacentral:rRNA from 1 species